rnacentral:sRNA from 1 species
UUUUAGCCCCGAUAGAAGUGGAAAUCCUUUUGUGCCGGGAUUCGGCACAAAAGAUUGGAACGGAUAGCGGGAUUAGCU